rnacentral:rRNA from 1 species
GACGAACGCUGGCGGCGUGCCUAAUACAUGCAAGUUGAGCGCUGAAGGUUGGUACUUGUACCAACUGGAUGAGCAGCGCACGGGUGAGUAACGCGUGGGGAAUCUGCCUUUGAGCGGGGGACAACAUUUGGAAACGAAUGCUAAUACCGCAUAAAAACUUUAAACACAAGUUUUAAGUUUGAAAGAUGCAAUUGCAUCACUCAAAGAUGAUCCCGCGUUGUAUUAGCUAGUUGGUGAGGUAAAGGCUCACCAAGGCGAUGAUACAUAGCCGACCUGAGAGGGUGAUCGGCCCAAUUGGGACUGAGACACGGCCCAAACUCCUACGGGAGGCAGCAGUAGGGAAUCUUCGGCAAUGGACGAAAGUCUGACCGAGCAACGCCGCGUGAGUGAAGAAGGUUUUCGGAUCGUAAAACUCUGUUGGUAGAGAAGAACGUUGGUGAGAGUGGAAAGCUCAUCAAGUGACGGUAACUACCCAGAAAGGGACGGCUAACUACGUG